rnacentral:rRNA from 1 species
AACGAACGCUGGCGGCAUGCCUAACACAUGCAAGUCGAACGAGACCUUCGGGUCUAGUGGCGCACGGGUGCGUAACGCGUGGGAACCUGCCCUUAGGUUCGGAAUAACUCCCCGAAAGGGGUGCUAAUACCGGAUAAUGUCUUCGGACCAAAGAUUUAUCGCCUUUGGAUGGGCCCGCGUUGGAUUAGCUAGUUGGUAGGGUAAAAGCCUACCAAGGCGACGAUCCAUAGCUGGUCUGAGAGGAUGAUCAGCCACACUGGGACUGAGACACGGCCCAGACUCCUACGGGAGGCAGCAGUGGGGAAUAUUGGACAAUGGGCGAAAGCCUGAUCCAGCAAUGCCGCGUGAGUGAUGAAGGCCUUAGGGUUGUAAAGCUCUUUUACCCGGGAUGAUAAUGACAGUACCGGGAGAAUGAGCUCCGGCUAACUCCGU